UACCAGCUCUCCGAGUGGUGUGGAUGUUUAUUGGGCCUAAAGCAUCCGUAGCUGGCUAAGUUAGUCCCUUGUUAAAUCCACCGAAUUAAUCGUUGGAUUGCGGGGGAUACUGCUUGGCUAGGGGACGAGAGAGGCAGACGGUAUUUCCGGGGUAGGGGUGAAAUCCUAUAAUCCCGGGAAGACCACCAGUGGCGAAGGCUGUCUGCUAGAACGCGCCCGACGGUGAGGGAUGAAAGCUGGGGGAGCGAACCGGAUUAGAUACCCGGGUAGUCCCAGCUGUAAACGAUGCAGGCUAGGUGUUUGGACGGCCACGUGCCGUUCUAGUGCCGCAGGGAAGCUGUUAAGCCUGCCGCCUGGGGAGUACGGUCGCAAGACUGAA
rnacentral:rRNA from 1 species